rnacentral:rRNA from 1 species
CCUACGGGAGGCUGCAGUGGGGAAUAUUGCACAAUGGGCGCAAGCCUGAUGCAGCCAUGCCGCGUGUGUGAAGAAGGCCUUCGGGUUGUAAAGCACUUUCAGCGGGGAGGAAGGCGGUGAGAUUAAUAACCUCAUCGAUUGACGUUACCCGCAGAAGAAGCACCGGCUAACUCCGUGCCAGCAGCCGCGGUAAUACGGAGGGUGCAAGCGUUAAUCGGAAUUACUGGGCGUAAAGCGCACGCAGGCGGUCUGUCAAGUCGGAUGUGAAAUCCCCGGGCUCAACCUGGGAACUGCAUUCGAAACUGGCAGGCUAGAGUCUUGUAGAGGGGGGUAGAAUUCCAGGUGUAGCGGUGAAAUGCGUAGAGAUCUGGAGGAAUACCGGUGGCGAAGGCGGCCCCCUGGACAAAGACUGACGCUCAGGUGCGAAAGCGUGGGGAGCAAACAGGAUUAGAUACCCCGGUAGUC